rnacentral:rRNA from 1 species
AUGGGGCGAACCACAACUAACCCUAUUUGGUGUCAGAUAUGGAAAUUAUCCUGUCCGGCAAAAGUCAAAAAAUUUAUAUGGCGUACGUUACAUGGCACUCUCCCAUGUCGGGCAACACUUGCUAAUAGACACAUGAAGGUCUCGCCCCUUUGCCCUACUUGCUCUCAGGGUGUAGAAGACACGAAGCAUAUGCUUUUCCUAUGUAAUAAAGCAAAGGAGGUUUGGAAGAGGCUAGGAAUAGAUGAGAUUAUUGAUAGAGCUUGUGAGGUUGAUCGUGCUGGAGAGGCAAUACUGGAAUACCUUUUAGUUCUUCCAGAUCAAGAUUUGCGUAUUAUGGGGUACCAAAAUAUACGAGAAAUGAUAGCUAUUUCAGCUUGGUAUCUAUGGUGGGAGAGAAGGAAAUUAGUGCACAAGGAAACAACUCAGAAUGCAACUCAGAUAUCAAUGGGGAUCAUAGCCCUCACAUACAAUUUUGUAAAUGCAUCAUCUAAAGCGUCCAUGAAAAAAGGGGGUUGGCAUUGUCCCCCAAGGGGUUUCGUGAAACUCAAUGUUGACGCCUCUUUUGACCAUGACAUGCUGAAGGGUACGAUGGGGGCGGUUUUGCGAGACGACAAAGGUAGGUUUAUUGCAGGAGGAAAUGAAAAGAUUGACCAUUGUGUGGAUGUUCUGAUGGCAGAAGCUUUAGCCCUCAAAUUUGGACUAACACUAGCGCAAAGGGCAGGGUGCAAUCGCCUAAUCAUCAACUCAGAUAAUCUGGAGGUGAUUGAGACCAUGCAGGAUGGAGGACAGUCAACGGGUGCGGCAGCGGCAAUUUUUGAUGACUGCUUCCACUAUGCAUGUGAUUUUAUCGUGACUAGAUUCGAACAUUGUAAUAGAGAGGCAAAUAGAGUAGCACAUGAACUUGCUAAGUUAGCUAGAUUUUCUUCAACUUUAGAUUGGUUCGAGGAGCCUAUCAAUGAAAUUGUACUCUUCCUCACAAACGAUGUAUUGGUUAUUUCUAAUGAAUAA